AGUUUCGAUCAUGGCUCAGAUUGAAGUUGGCGGAUGUUUGCCACAUGCAAGUCGAACGGUAGCACGGACUUCGGUCUGGUGGCGAGCGGCGAACGGGUGAGUAAUGUAUCGGAACGUGCCUAGUAGCGGGGAUAACUACAGCGAAAGCGUAGCUAAUACCGCAUACCGCCUCGGGGAAAGCGGGGGGGGACCUUCGGGCCUCGCACUAUUAGAGUGGCCGAUAUCGAUUAGCUAGUUGGUGGGGUAACGGGCUCACCGAAGGCGACGAUCCGUAGCUGGUUUGAGAGGACGACCAGCCACACUGGGACUGAGACAUGGCCCAGACUCCUACGGGGAGGCAGCAGUGGGGAAUUUUGGACAAUGGGAAACCCCGAUCCAGCCAUCCCGGCGUGUGCGAUGCCGGAAGGCCUUCGGGUUGUAAAGCACUUUCUUGCGGAAAGAAACGGCACGGGAUAAUACCCCGUGCAACUGACGGUACCUGUAGACCAAGCACCGCCAACUACGUGCCGGCCAGCAGCCGCGGUAAUACGUAGGGUGCAAGCGUUAAUCGGAAUUACUGGGCGAAGCGUGCGCAGCAGGCGGUUCGGAAAGAAAGAUGUCCUGUGAGCUUAACUUUUGGAACUGCAUUUUUAACUACUGAGCUAGAGUGGUGUCGAGGGAGUAGGAAUUCGCGUGUAGCAGUGAAAUGCGUAGAUAUGGAGAGGAACACCGAUGGCGAAGGCAGCUCUCCUGACAACACUGACGCUCAUGGCACGAAAGCGUGGGGAGCAAACAGGAUUAGAUACCCUGGUAGUCCACGCCUCAAACGAUGUCAACCAGCUGUUGGGGCCUUCGGGCCUUUGGUAGCGCAGCUAACGCGUGAAGUUGACCGCCUGUGGAGCAUGGUCGCAAGAUUAAAACUCCAAAGGAAUUGACGGGGACCCCGCACAAGCGGUGGAUGAUGUGGAUUGACUGAUGCAACGCGAAAACUCACUUACCCUUGACAUGUCUGGAAUCCCGAAGAGACUUGGGGGAGUGCUCGCAAGAGAACCGGAACACAGGUGCUGCAUGGCUGUCGUCAGCUCGUGUCGUGAGAUGCUGGGUUAAGUCCCGCAACGAGCGCAACCCUUGUCAUUAGUUGCUACGAAAGGGCACUCUAAUGAGAGACUGCCGGUGACAAACCGGAGGAAGGUGGGGAUGACGUCAUUCCAUGGCCCUUAUGGGUAGGGCUUCACGUCAUACAAUGGUCGGGACAGAGGGUCGCCAACCCGCGAGGGGAGCCAAUCCCGAAACCCGAUCGUAGUCCGGAUCGCAGUCUGCAACUCGACUGCGUGAAGUCGGAAUCGCUAGUAAUCGCGGAUCAGCAUGUCGCGGUGAAUACGUUCCCGGGUCUUGUACACCGCCCGCUACACCAUGGGAGGUGGGCUUUACCGUGAUAGUUAGCCUAACCGUGCGAGGGCGAUUACUACUACGGUAGAUUCAUGAUCAAAGUAGUCGUAACAGGUAGCCCCA
rnacentral:rRNA from 1 species